rnacentral:rRNA from 1 species
GAUACCCUGGUAGUGCACGCCGUAAACGAUGUCUACUUGGAGGUUGUGGCCUUGAGCCGUGGCUUUCGGAGCUAACGCGUUAAGUAGACCGCCUGGGGAGUACGGUCGCAAGAUUAAAACUCAAAUGAAUUGACGGGGGCCCGCACAAGCGGUGGAGCAUGUGGUUUAAUUCGAUGCAACGCGAAGAACCUUACCUACUCUUGACAUCCAGAGAACUUUCCAGAGAUGGAUUGGUGCCUUCGGGAACUCUGAGACAGGUGCUGCAUGGCUGUCGUCAGCUCGUGUUGUGAAAUGUUGGGUUAAGUCCCGCAACGAGCGCAACCCUUAUCCUUGUUUGCCAGCGAGUAAUGUCGGGAACUCCAGGGAGACUGCCGGUGAUAAACCGGAGGAAGGUGGGGACGACGUCAAGUCAUCAUGGCCCUUACGAGUAGGGCUACACACGUGCUACAAUGGCGCAUACAGAGGGCGGCCAACUUGCGAAAGUGAGCGAAUCCCAAAAAGUGCGUCGUAGUCCGGAUUGGAGUCUGCAACUCGACUCCAUGAAGUCGGAAUCGCUAGUAAUCGUGGAUCAGAAUGCCACGGUGAAUACGUUCCCGGGCCUUGUACACACCGCCCGUCACACCAUGGGAGUGGGCUGCAAAAGAAGUAGGUAGUUAACCUCGGGGGACGCUACCACCUUG